rnacentral:rRNA from 1 species
GACUACACGAAGCUGGAAUCGCUAGUAAUCGCGAAUCAGAACGUCGCGGUGAAUACGUUCCCGGGUCUUGUACACACCGCCCGUCACACCAUGGGAGUCGGGAAUGCCCGAAGCCGGUGACCCAACCGAAAGGAGGGAGCCGUCGAAGGCAGGUCUGAUAACUGGGGUGAAGUCGUAACAAGGUAUC